CUGCCGGCGACCGGCGCACGGGUGAGUAACACGUAUGCAACCUGCCCUCCGCAGGGGGAUAACCCGGAGAAAUCCGGACUAAUACCGCGUGGUACACCUGUGGGGCAUCCCACGGGUGUUAAAAGGAAGUGAUUCCGGCGGAGGAUGGGCAUGCGGCGCAUUAGCUUGUUGGCGGGGUAACGGCCCACCAAGGCUACGAUGCGUAGGGGUUCUGAGAGGAAGGUCCCCCACACUGGUACUGAGACACGGACCAGACUCCUACGGGAGGCAGCAGUGAGGAAUAUUGGUCAAUGGGCGGGAGCCUGAACCAGCCAAGUCGCGUGAGGGAAGACGGUCCUAUGGAUUGUAAACCUCUUUAGGCGGGGAGCAAUGCCGGGCACGCGUGCCCGGAGGGAGAGUACCCGCAGAAUAAGCAUCGGCUAACUCCGUGCCAGCAGCCGCGGUAAUACGGAGGAUGCGAGCGUUAUCCGGAUUUAUUGGGUUUAAAGGGUGCGUAGGCGGACGCUUAAGUCAGCGGUAAAAUUGCGGGGCUCAACCUCGUCGAGCCGUUGAAACUGGGUGCCUUGAGUGGGCGAGAAGUACGCGGAAUGCGUGGUGUAGCGGUGAAAUGCAUAGAUAUCACGCAGAACUCCGAUUGCGAAGGCAGCGUACCGGCGCCCAACUGACGCUGAAGCACGAAAGUGCGGGGAUCAAACAGGAUUAGAUACCCUGGUAGUCCACGCAGUAAACGAUGAAUGCUAGUUGUCCGGGGCGAUUGAGUUCUGGGUGACACAGCGAAAGCGUUAAGCAUUCCACCUGGGGAGUACGCCGGCAACGGUGAAACUCAAAGGAAUUGACGGGGGCC
rnacentral:rRNA from 1 species